GGUAUAUGAGUAAAUAAAUAGCGCAAAUAUUGUUCAUAUUCAUGUUUGAAUUUAUAAAUAUCGGCCUUAACUGUUGCACGAGGCCAACCNNNNNNNNUAAUCAUAUUUGCUAAUUCUUCACGAUCUCUAUUUGGAUCGUAAUAUAAAAUACCUCCGGUGACAGUGUUAAUUCCUGGUUGAACUAGAUUUGAACCUAUGCUAGGGUUAACCGCAGAAUCUACACUUGUCCCCUCUUGCUGCGCUUGCAUUUGAAAAAAUCUAGCCCUAUCUGUUGGGUGUAUUUUUAUGUGCCUAACCAAACUACCUGUGCCGCUACGGUCUCCAGUAAAUUUAUGAAC
rnacentral:lncRNA from 1 species